UCAAGCACGUUUGUGUAAUAUCUCAUCUGGCUGUUGUAAGGAUCAAGUGAGGGAGAGGAGAGAGCAGAUGUUAUGAAGCUCAUUUUACAGUGGAAGAAACUGAGGCUCAGAAUGCAUCAAGAGGCACACAGCAAUACAGCUGGAGUCAGGAAGAGGCAUCGGGAUGAUUCAAAACUCUGGUUCUGCCCUGGAGUGACUUCAAGCUGAGGACAUUCCAACUCAGAGGGCCUCAGCUGCAGAACCAACUGGACUCCAGUGUUGCAGACCAGUGAGGAUGGAAAUGCUUGCAAGACCAAGAUGGACAACGUUGAAAUGGCCUCAAGCCUGCUACUAAGACUGGCGCUUGUGGGGGAGAAUAUUUGGUCCAGUAUUCAGAGUCUAAAGGGUAGAGACAGGGAGGAUUUGUUUCAGGCAGAUAACAAUAACCCUGAAGGUCCAGUCCAGCAGGCAGGGCAUACCUGAGAUGCAGGCAACAGGUAACAUGCAAAGUCAGAUGCACAGUGGGAUGUGGUUUGAGAGAUGAGUGACACCCCCUCAGUGAGAUUUCCACAACCAUCUGUGGGAUGGGGAACUGAGGCCAUUCUAGCUCCUUAGGAAGGGGCAAGAGCUCGCUGGAUGCAGGGGCCAGGUGUAUAAGAGUAUUGGGUGGGAAUCAGAUGAAGCGAGGACCAGGAGAGAUUGACAGGGGGCUGAGGGUCAGGCCUAGACACUGAGCCAGCAGGCAGCACAGGGGACCGGUGACGCCACGGCUUAUCACAAGCACAAAGCCCUGAGAUGGACUAGUCCCUAAUUUCAGACCUCUAGCUGUGGAUAGCUAACAUAUUUUCUUUCUCUGGGAUAAAUUAGAUGAGGACCUGGGAAGACCGCGUUUUCUGGGAGAAGCCCUGGAAUACAAGAUUUAAUAUACUUAAAGGGAGCUCACAUUCCCAUCAACCUGGAGCAACUCACCUGGGAAUGUCUGAGUUGGCUUCAAAGUCUCAGCCAAAUCCAGACCUAUCUAAGGAAUGUGGAAGCUGAAACCAACUUCACCUGGAUCUUUGCCUUGUGGUAACAUCCUUGCCCUAUGAGUUGCUGCCUGCAUAUAUGGAAGUAGAAGAGAGGAGACACUGUUUUAGACAAACAUAUAACAUAAAUGAUUUUAUUAUGAAAUUAAAUAAUUACAUAGAUACAUUAGAGCAAAAUUAUUUUAUCUGAAUUGUAUUUUGACCCGUGCAUCCUAUUCAACAACAAUCUUUGUAAAAAAAAUUUACCCUCCUCCAAAACAUUUAUUCAGUUAAAAUGUGAGUGACUAA